GGGGUAAUAGCUCAGCAGUAGAGCGCAUACCUAGCACGCGUGAGGUCCUGGGUUCAAUUUCCAGUACCUCCA
rnacentral:tRNA from 1 species